GCAGCGCCGCGGGAGCCUCGGUCGGCCUCGGAUAGCCGGGGGGCCCCCCCCCUCCCCCGCGGGCC
rnacentral:miRNA from 1 species